rnacentral:lncRNA from 1 species
AGAUCAAACCAGUAAACUCAAAUAUGUGCUUCAAGAUGCAAGAUUUUUCCUCAUAAAGAGUAACAACCAUGAGAAUGUGUCUCUUGCCAAAGCGAAGGGUGUAUGGUCCACGCUCCCUGUAAAUGAGAAGAAAUUAAAUCUUGCAUUUAGAUCUGCAAGGAGUGUUAUCUUAAUAUUUUCUGUCAGAGAGAGUGGAAAAUUUCAAGGGUUUGCAAGACUUUCUUCAGAAUCACAUCACGGAGGAUCUCCUAUACACUGGGUGCUUCCAGCAGGAAUGAGUGCUAAAAUGCUGGGAGGUGUCUUUAAAAUUGACUGGAUUUGCAGGUAAAUUAUACACUUCAGUAUAGAUAACUGAAAUUUUGAAUACACUACCAGUUUAGAAUAAUGUGUUAAAGUGAAAAAGUCACUGUAUACUUAUCUUACCUUGUUCAGUAACUACCUUUAUCUAAUGUGGGACACAACAAAGGCGUAUUUAGUCUAAAGUUACAUGUAUUUGAUUUGUUUUGUAUAUUAGUAAUAAAGCAGUAAAUGAAUUGGACAGUUGCUUGAAAUGUUGUCUGGCGUAUCUGUAUAAUUUUAGUGAUUUAACAUGUCACUUAAGUUAUUGAGGAAUGGGAAAUAAGUACUAUGACUUGGCUAACAAUUUCGGAGGUAACUAGUUUAGUCGUGGACAGUAUUUUUUAAGGAGGUUAGCAAAUGAUGUUUAGUUGCCAUUGUGAUCUUCUGAAACUGAGUUAAGAUUUAACUGUAUUUAUUAGAAAAAUAAUCAGGCUUAUUUUGAACACUGAGUUGUCACUAUUUUUAGGUCCUUACUGCACACUGAAGUAUUGUACACAAGAAGCUCAUUAUUUAAGUGAUCUUUACGUGGCAUACACAAAUGUAUUACCUGUAAAAUUAAUUUUAGUUAAAAAGUGUCUGAAAGGAGAUGGUUACUUUGUGAGUUUUAAGUUGUUUUUGGGUAUUAGAUCUUGAUGAGCCUGAAGGGGUCG